UACGGAGGGGGCAAGCGUUAUUCGGAAUUAUUGGGCGUAAAGGGCGCGUAGGCGGCAUGCCAAGCGUGUGGUGAAAGCCCGGGGCUCAACCCCGGGUCGGCCGUGCGGACUGGCGUGCUCGAGCACUGUAGGGGCGGGUGGAAUUCCGGGUGUAGCGGUGGAAUGCGUAGAGAUCCGGAAGAACACCGGUGGCGAAGGCGGCCCGCUGGGCAGGAAGGCUCGCAAGAGCCGGCUGACGCUGAGGCGCGACAGCGUGGGGAGCAAACAGG
rnacentral:rRNA from 1 species